UGUGGCAGAUCAGUGCAGUAAAUUUAAGAUUUUCUAACAAAGUCAAUCUUUCUUUAGAA
rnacentral:tRNA from 1 species